rnacentral:rRNA from 1 species
GUGCCAGCAGCCGCGGUAAUACGUAGGGCGCAAGCGUUGUCCGGAAUUAUUGGGCGUAAAGAGCUCGUAGGUGGCUUGUCGCGUCUGUCGUGAAAGCCCGGGGCUUAACUCCGGGUCUGCGGUGGAUACGGGCAGGCUAGAGGCAGGUAGGGGAGAAUGGAAUUCCCAGUGUAGCGGUGAAAUGCGCAGAUAUCGGGAGGAACACCGGUGGCGAAGGCGGUUCUCUGGGCCUGUACUGACGCUGAGGAGCGAAAGCGUGGGGAGCGAACAGGAUUAGAAACCCCGGUAGUCC